rnacentral:rRNA from 1 species
CGACGAAGAACCUUACCUACCCUUGACAUCCAGAGGAUUUUCCAGAGAUGGAUUAGUGCCUUCGGGAACUCUGAGACAGGUGCUGCAUGGCUGUCGUCAGCUCGUGUUGUGAAAUGUUGGGUUAAGUCCCGUAACGAGCGCAACCCCUAUCCUUAUUUGCCAGCGAUUCGGUCGGGAACUCUAAGGAGACUGCCGGUGACAAACCGGAGGAAGGUGGGGAUGACGUCAAGUCAUCAUGGCCCUUACGGGUAGGGCUACACACGUGCUACAAUGGGGAGUACAGAGGGAUGCGAAGCGGCGACGUGAAGCCAAUCCCAAAAAGCUCUCCUCAGUCCGGAUUGGAGUCUGCAACUCGACUCCGUGAAGUCGGAAUCGCUAGUAAUCGCGAAUCAGAAUGUCGCGGUGAAUACGUUCCCGGGCCUUGUACACACCGCCCGUCACACCAUGGGAGUGGAUUGCACCAGAAGUGGCUAGUUUAACCUUCGGGGGAACGGUUACCACGGUGUGGUUCAUGACUGGGGUGAAGUCGUAACAAGGUAGGCGUAGCGAG